rnacentral:rRNA from 1 species
UACUCUCGGCAAUGGAUAUCUCGGCUCUCGUAUCGAUAAAUAAUGUAGCGAAGUGCGAUACUUGGUGUGAAUUAUAUAAUCCCAUGAAAGAUUGAGUCUUUGAAUGCAAGUUACAUCCAAAGCCAUUAGGCCGAGGGCACGUCUACCUGGGCAUCA